UUAACUUUUGGCUAAGAUCAAGUUUAUUAUCUCUUCUUAUCAGUUUAAUAUCUAUAUGUUCUCUAUCCGAGGACAACAUAUUAAAUGUAUUUUUGGAGUUGGGAGAUGGAAUAGGAACUUGCUCCAUCCACUCCAUGCAUCGACCUGGUAUUGCAGUACUUCCAGGAACGGUGCACCCCCU
rnacentral:snRNA from 1 species